UACAGAGGUCUCAAGCGUUGUUCGGAAUUAUUGGGCGUAAAGGGCGCGUAGGCGGCUUUGCAAGUGACGGGUGAAAUCCCUCGGCUUAACCGAGGAACUGCCUGUCAAACUGCAUGGCUUGAGACCGGGAGAGGUGAGUGGAAUUCCCAGUGUAGCGGUGAAAUGCGUAGAUAUUGGGAGGAACACCAGUGGCGAAGGCGGCUCACUGGACCGGUACUGACGCUGAUGCGCGAAAGCGUGGGGAGCAAACAGG
rnacentral:rRNA from 1 species